AUUGAACGCUGGCGGAAUGCUUUACACAUGCAAGUCGAACGGUAACAGGUCUUCGGAUGCUGACGAGUGGCGAACGGGUGAGUAAUAUAUCGGAACGUGCCCAGUCGUGGGGGAUAACGUAGCGAAAGUUACGCUAAUACCGCAUACGAUCUAUGGAUGAAAGCGGGGGAUCGCAAGACCUCGCGCGAUUGGAGCGGCCGAUAUCAGAUUAGGUAGUUGGUGGGGUAAAGGCUCACCAAGCCAACGAUCUGUAGCUGGUCUGAGAGGACGACCAGCCACACUGGAACUGAGACACGGUCCAGACUCCGACGGGAGGCAGCAGUGGGGAAUUUUGGACAAUGGACGCAAGUCUGAUCCAGCCAUUCCGCGUGCAGGAUGAAGGCCCUCGGGUUGUAAACUGCUUUUGUACGGAACGAAAAGGUCUCUCCUAAUACGAGGGGCUCAUGACGGUACCGUAAGAAUAAGCACCGGCUAACUACGUGCCAGCCGCCGCAGUAACAC
rnacentral:rRNA from 1 species